rnacentral:rRNA from 1 species
UGGGGGAUAUUGCACAAUGGGCGAAAGCCUGAUGCAGCGACGCCGCGUGGGGGAUGAAGGCCUUCGGGUUGUAAACUUCUUUUGCUCUGAACAAGGCAUGCUAAUGGGUGUGUUGAGUGUAGGGGUUGAUUAGCGCCGGCUAACUACGUGCCAGCAGCCGCGGUAAUACGUAGGGCGCGAGCGUUGUCCGGAAUUAUUGGGCGUAAAGGGCUUGUAGGUGGCUGGUUGCGUCUGUCGUGAAAGCUCAUGGCUUAACUGUGGGUUUGCGGUGGGUACGGGCUGGCUUGAGUGCAGUAGGGGAGGCUGGAAUUCCUGGUGUAGCGGUGGAAUGCGCAGAUAUCAGGAGGAAUACCGGUGGCGAAGGCGGGUCUCUGGGCUGUUACUGACACUGAGGAGCGAAAGCACGGGGAGCGAACAGG